rnacentral:rRNA from 1 species
AACGAACGCUGGCGGCAUGCCUAACACAUGCAAGUCGAACGAGACCUUCGGGUCUAGUGGCGCACGGGUUCGUAACGCGUGGGAACCUUCCCUUAGGUUCGGAAUAACUCCCCGAAAGGGGUGCUAAUACCGGAUAAUUUCUUCUGACCAAAGAUUUAUCGCCUUUGGAUGGGCCCGCGUUGGAUUAGCUAGUUGGUAGGGUAAAAGCCUACCAAGGCGACGAUCCAUAGCUGGUCUGAGAGGAUGAUCAGCCACACUGGGACUGAGACACGGCCCAGACUCCUACGGGAGGCAGCAGUGGGGAAUAUUGGACAAUGGGCGAAAGCCUGAUCCAGCAAUGCCGCGUGAGUGAUGAAGGCCUUAGGGUUGUAAAGCUCUUUUACCCGGGAUGAUAAUGACAGUACCGGGAGAAUAAGCUCCGGCUAACUCCGUG